rnacentral:rRNA from 1 species
UUGACGGAAUGACACCACCAGGCGUGGAGUGUGCGGCUUAAUUUGACUCAACACGGGGAACCUCACCAGGUCAGGACGAAGUAAGGAUUGACAGAUUGACAGCUCUUUCAAGAUCCUUUGGAUGGUAGUGCAUGGCCGUUGUUAGUCGGUAGGGUGACUCGUCUGCUUAACUGCGAUAACGAACGAGAUCUCCACCACUCAAUAGCUGCCGGGCUCGUAUGUAUGAACUCGGUGUAUGUUCCCUUCUGGGUUCGGCCACCUUCGGUUCAGAGAGACCCGGCGCCUCACCCUUUUCGGGUGUAACUUCUCAGUGGGACUGUGUACGUUCUCAGUACACGGAAGAUGGGGCUGAUAGCAGGUCUGUGAUGCUCCUAAAUGUCCUGGGCUGCACGCGCACUACAAUGAUGCAGCCAACGAGCUGAAUCCGGGGUGCCUCCGGGCACGUCUUCGGAUCCUACUUUGAAGAGAGUGGGAAAUCUAUUGAGACUGCAUCGUAUUGGGGAUAGAUGAUUGCAAUUAUUUGCCUUGAACCCGGAAUGCCUAGUAGGCUCAGCUCAUCAGGCUGAACCGAUUGCGUCCCUGUCAUUUGUACACACCGCCCGUCGUUGCUAGCGAUGGUAGAGUUUCAGAGGUGUUAGGAGGAACUUGGCUGUUUGAUUGGUUCCGCCGAUCUUCAGCUGUUCCAAACAUCCCCAAUGAAACUUUACUAGAGCAAGCAAAAGUCGUAACAAGGUUGCUGUAGGUGAACCUGCAGAAGGAUC